AUGGAUGAACAAAGAUGAGAGGACUUAGAAAUGGACUGCUUGGUCAAAGUGUUGGAGAAAGUGGGAAUGGAGUCACUGCUUUUGGAUGUCCCUUUUGUGUGCAAGUCAUGGUACAAGGCGGCCCUCAAUCCUUAAUGCUGGCAAUCUCUCAUUUUCCCAGACAAUGAAUGUAUGGAAGUCUGGCCUUGGGAUGUGUCUGAAUGUCCGAAUUUUCAAAAUCUUAUGGACAGAUUUGCAAGUGAGUAUCAAAUUGAUGGGGAUCGUUGCUCUGUCUCCGCUUUUCUAAAGUUUGUUAUCAAUCGGAGCAGCGGAAACGCUAUUGUGCUCAAGCUUCCCAAACGCUGCACAGUAGAGCCUUUGAAUUUGCUGCAAAUGUGCAAGUUUUCUCAUUUUCACUUGUUUAACAAAACAAGUUAA
rnacentral:lncRNA from 1 species